rnacentral:rRNA from 1 species
AUUGAACGCUGGCGGCAUGCCUUACACAUGCAAGUCGAACGGCAGCACGGGUGCUUGCACCUGGUGGCGAGUGGCGCACGGGUGAGUAAUACAUCGGAACAUGUCCUGUAGUGGGGGAUAGCCCGGCGAAAGCCGGAUUAAUACCGCAUACGAUCUACGGAUGACAGCGGGGGACCUUCGGGCCUCGCGCUAUAGGGUUGGCCGAUGGCUGAUUAGCUAGUUGGUGGGGUAAAGGCCUACCAAGGCGACGAUCAGUAGCUGGUCUGAGAGGACGACCAGCCACACUGGGACUGAGACACGGCCCAGACUCCUACGGGAGGCAGCAGUGGGGAAUUUUGGACAAUGGGCGAAAGCCUGAUCCAGCAAUGCCGCGUGUGUGAAGAAGGCCUUCGGGUUGUAAAGCACUUUUGUCCGGAAAGAAAUCCUUGGCCCUAAUACGGUCGGGGGAUGACGGUACCGGAAGAAUAAGCACCGGCUAACUACGUG